GUGAACGCUGGCGGUAGGCCUAACACAUGCAAGUCGAACGGCAGCACAGUAAGCGCUUGCUCUUCCGGGUGGCGAGUGGCGGACGGGUGAGGAAUACAUCGGAAUCUACUUUUUCGUGGGGGAUAACGUAGGGAAACUUACGCUAAUACCGCAUACGACCUACGGGUGAAAGCAGGGGAUCUUCGGACCUUGCGCGAUUGAAUGAGCCGAUGUCGGAUUAGCUAGUUGGCGGGGUAAAGGCCCACCAAGGCGACGAUCCGUAGCUGGUCUGAGAGGAUGAUCAGCCACACUGGAACUGAGACACGGUCCAGACUCCUACGGGAGGCAGCAGUGGGGAAUAUUGGACAAUGGGCGCAAGCCUGAUCCAGCCAUACCGCGUGGGUGAAGAAGGCCUUCGGGUUGUGAAGCCCUUUUGUUGGGAAAGAAAAGCAGCAGGUUAAUACCCCGCUGUUCUGACGGUACCCAAAGAAUAAGCACCGGCUAACUUCGUG
rnacentral:rRNA from 1 species